CCUACGGGUGGCAGCAGUGGGGAAUAUUGCGCAAUGGGGGCAACCCUGACGCAGCCAUGCCGCGUGAAUGAAGAAGGCCUUCGGGUUGUAAAGUUCUUUCGGUGACGAGGAAGGUUGUUGUGUUAAUAGCGCAACAAAUUGACGUUAAUCACAGAAGAAGCACCGGCUAACUCCGUGCCAGCAGCCGCGGUAAUACGGAGGGUGCGAGCGUUAAUCGGAAUAACUGGGCGUAAAGGGCACGCAGGCGGCUAUUUAAGUGAGGUGUGAAAUCCCCGGGCUUAACCUGGGAAUUGCAUUUCAGACUGGGUAGCUAGAGUACUUUAGGGAGGGGUAGAAUUCCACGUGUAGCGGUGAAAUGCGUAGAGAUGUGGAGGAAUACCGAAGGCGAAGGCAGCCCCUUGGGAAUGUACUGACGCUCAUGUGCGAAAGCGUGGGGAGCAAACAGGAUUAGAUACCCUAGUAGUC
rnacentral:rRNA from 1 species